ensembl:antisense Vax2os ventral anterior homeobox 2, opposite strand
GGCUGGCUCGAGCGAUCUGCAGGAAGCCGUACCAGUCUGCAGCUGCCCAGCCAGGGACCAGAGAAAUGCAACAGGAACCCAUGCUUGUCUGCAAUAAUUUACAGGACCCCGUUCGAGCUCCCUGGUUGAGAUAAAUACAUCGACCCACGCAGGUAGAAUUUUCUUCUCAAGAGUCUCUUUCUCCUCCUGACAUCGGGGGCCAUGGGAGAAGUUUCCUACUUCCAGCUCUGGGGAAAGUACGGAAGGUGGCAAGGAGCUGUGGAAAGCGGAGGUGGCUUGGGAGAGGCCUGGGCUGUGGAGUCCCCGGGCGGCUCCCGCGACUUCUCUGGAAUGCUUCCGAGCUGCAGGCCCUGGAUGCUGGCGUGCAGGGUGUAGAGCGGCAGACCCGGAUGGACCGGCUGGUGCGGUGCUCGGGUCCGAGUGGAGCGGGCGUUCUCGCUUCGCGGCUUGCAACCGGCCUCACAGUUCAGGCUUCAGCGGCAGAAAUAAUGGGACUGACGGCAAGAAAGUAUCCCAACGCUUUCCCGCUCUUCUGGAGCUGCCUCCACCCCAUCCCCACCGCCGCAUCCUUCUUUUUGAAUAAAUUUACCUUGAA